rnacentral:lncRNA from 1 species
ACAAGACUUUAAAAUUACUAUUCUAAAUAUGCUCAAAGAACCAAAGAAAGAAAAGGAUAAAAUGCAUAAUAUAUGUAUAGUAUAUUAUAUAUGUGAUGAAUGAAAUGAAAUGGAAAUACCAAUAAAGAGAAAGAAAGCAUAAAAAGAAGCUGAAAAGAAAUUCUGGAAGUAAGCAGUAUAAUUUACAAUUACUGUGGGAAAAAAAAAUCUGAACUUGAAGAUAAGUCUAUGCUAAUUACUUAGUUUGGGAAACAAAAAGUAAAACAAUUGACAGUAUGGCAGCAGGACACUGAAACAUAUGAAGCAGACCAACAUAUGCCUUGGGGAUUGGCAAAAAGACAGAAGGAGGUACAGAGAAUAUUUUAAAAUAACAGCCAAGGUUUGCCAAAUGUGAUGGAUAUAAACCUUUAAGAAGCUCAACAUAUUUCAAGUAAAAAGAACUCAAAUAGACAAGCACUGUGACACGUCACAAUCAAACUGUCUAUAGAGUCAAAGACAAAAAAUUUUGAAAGUAACAAGAGUGCAGACAAGACUCAUCACAUACAAGGGAGCUUUGGUAAGACUAUCUUCAGAUUUCUCAGCAGACAUUUUGCUAUCCAGAGUACAGUAGAUGGAUACAUUUAAAAUACUAAAAGAAAAAGUGCCAAACAAGAACCCCUACCUGGCAAUAAAUGUUCUUCAAAUGUCAGAGAGAAAUUAUGAUAUUCCAAGAAAAAUAUAAACUCAGAGUGCUUGUAGACUGGACUUGUCCUGAAAGUCAGGGUAAUAAGAUUCCUGCAGAUUGAAUGGAAGGACAUUAGACAGAAACUGAAAGCAAAAUACAAGCUCAGAGUGCUUGUAGACUGGACUUGUCCUGAAAGUCAGGGUAAUAAGACCCCUGCAGAUUGAAUGGAAGGACAUUACACAGAAACUGAAAGCAUUAUAAAAAAAAAAGUACAGCUCAAUAAAGGCAAAUGUGUGGAUAAUUAUCAAAGAUAUUUGAAGAUUCACUGUAUAUACCACUUACACAAAUUUCCAAUAAAAUUACUUAAUGAAGAGGACCCAAGUUCAAUCCCCAGUAGCCCCCCCCCAAAUUACUUAAUGAAGUACUGCAGAUAAAAAAG